rnacentral:rRNA from 1 species
UAACUUAGUGGCGGACGGGUGAGUAACGCGUGGGUAACCUGCCAUAUACAGGGGGAUAACACUUAGAAAUAGGUGCUAAAACCGCAUAAGCGCACAGCUUCGCAUGAAGCAGUGUGAAAAACUCCGGUGGUAUAUGAUGGACCCGCGUCUGAUUAGCCAGUUGGCAGGGUAACGGCCUACCAAAGCGACGAUCAGUAGCCGGCCUGAGAGGGUGAACGGCCACAUUGGGACUGAGACACGGCCCAAACUCCUACGGGAGGCAGCAGUGGGGAAUAUUGCACAAUGGGGGAAACCCUGAUGCAGCGACGCCGCGUGAGUGAAGAAGUAUUUCGGUAUGUAAAGCUCUAUCAGCAGGGAAGAAAGUGACGGUACCAUAGGAGGAAGCUCCGGCUAACUACGUGCCAGCAGCCGCGGUAAUACGUAGGGAGCGAGCGUUGUCCGGAAUUACUGGGCGUAAAGGGUGCGUAGGCGGUUGUUUAAGUCAGAUGUGAAAUACCCGGGCUUAACUCGGGGGCUGCAUCUGAUACUGGAUGACUAGAGUGCAGGAGAGGAAAGUGGAAUUCCUAGUGUAGCGGUGGAAUGCGUAGAUAUUAGGAGGAACACCAGUGGCGAAGGCGACUUUCUGGACUGUAACUGACGCUGAGGCACGAAAGUAUGGGUAGCAAACAGGAUUAGAUACCCUGGUAGUCCAUACUGUAAACGAUGAAUACUAGGUGUGGGGGACAAUAGUCUUCCGUGCCGCAGCCAACGCAAUAAGUAUUCCGCCUGGGGAGUACGGUCGCAAGACUGAAACUCAAAGGAAUUGACGGGGGCCCGCACAAGCAGCGGAGCAUGUGGUUUAAUUCGAAGCAACGCGAAGAACCUUACCAAGGCUUGACAUCCCGGUGACCGGCAUAGAGAUAUGCCUUCUCUUCGGAGCACCGGUGACAGGUGGUGCAUGGUUGUCGUCAGCUCGUGUCGUGAGAUGUUGGGUUAAGUCCCGCAACGAGCGCAACCCUUGUUACUAGUUGCCAGCAUUUCGGAUGGGAACUCUAGUGAGACUGCCGGGGAUAACUCGGAGGAAGGUGGGGAUGACGUCAAAUCAUCAUGCCCUUUAUGUCUUGGGCUACACACGUGCUACAAUGGUCGGUACAAAGAGCGGCGAGCUCGUAAGAGUAAGCGAAUCUCAUAAAGCCGGUCUCAGUUCAGAUUGUGGGCUGCAACCCGCCCACAUGAAGUCGGAGUUGCUAGUAAUCGCGGAUCAGCAUGCCGCGGUGAAUGCGUUCCCGGGCCUUGCACUAAGCGCCCGUCA